rnacentral:rRNA from 1 species
CAGCCGCCGCGGUAAUACGUAGGUGGCAAGCGUUGUCCGGAAUUAUUGGGCGUAAAGGGCUCGCAGGCGGUUUCUUAAGUCUGAUGUGAAAGCCCCCGGCUCAACCGGGGAGGGUCAAUGGAAACUGGGAAACUUGAGUGCAGAAGAGGAGAGUGGAUUCCACGUGUAGCGGUGGAAUGCGUAGAGAUGUGGAGGAACACCAGUGGCGAAGGCGACUCUCUGGUCUGUAACUGACGCUGAGGAGCGAAAGCGUGGGGAGCGAACAGGAUUAGAUACCCCCGUAGUCCCUGUCUCUUAUACA